rnacentral:rRNA from 1 species
CCUACGGGAGGCAGCAGUGGGGAAUAUUGCGCAAUGGGCGAGAGUCUGAACCAGCCAAGUAGCGUGAAGGAUGACUGCCCUAUGGGUUGUAAACUUCUUUUAUAAAGGAAUAAAACGAGGCACGUGUGCCUUUUUGCAUGUACUUUAUGAAUAAGGAUCGGCUAACUCCGUGCCAGCAGCCGCGGUAAUACGGAGGAUCCGAGCGUUAUCCGGAGUGAUUGGGUUUAAAGGGAGGGUAGACUGUGAGGUAAGUCAGCGGUGAAAUGCCCCCGGUCAACGGGGUGAAGUGCCAUUGAUACUGCCUUGCUGGAGUGCGGAUGCCGUGGGAGGAAUGUGUGGUGUAGCGGUGAAAUGCAUAGAUAUCACACAGAACACCGAUUGCGAAGGCAUCUCACGAAUCCGCGAUUGACGCUGAUGCACGAAAGCGUGGGUAUCAAACAGGAUUAGAUACCCGUGUAGUC